GAUGAACGCUAGCUACAGGCUUAACACAUGCAAGUCGAGGGGAAACGACAUCGAAAGCUUGCUUUUGAUGGGCGUCGACCGGCGCACGGGUGAGUAACGCGUAUCCAACCUGCCCACCACUUGGGGAUAACCUUGCGAAAGUAAGACUAAUACCCAAUGACGUCUCUAGAAGACAUCUGAAAGGGAUUAAAGAUUUAUCGGUGAUGGAUGGGGAUGCGUCUGAUUAGCUUGUUGGCGGGGUAACGGCCCACCAAGGCGACGAUCAGUAGGGGUUCUGAGAGGAAGGUCCCCCACAUUGGAACUGAGACACGGUCCAA
rnacentral:rRNA from 1 species